UGAUGUUUUAUUUUUAAGCAGUUUCUUCAUAUAACUAAACAUAAAAAAAAUGCUGAAACCAAUGGUACAUACAUGUGUUACAUAUUGAUGGCAAGGUUUGUUUUGAGGGCACCAAAAAUAAAGAUGUUGAAUAAACCUUUGCAAAGACCAAGAUACAAGCAGGGAGAAAUAGCAUGAAACAUAUAAAACAGUGCAGUGAAGCAGUGUAUACAAAUACAAGAGCGAUUACUGAAGGAUGGAGAAUGGAGGAUGCUUUAUAAAACAGUGAACUCUGGUACACCAUCAAUGGAUGAUGAACUGAACAUGGAAACUCACUUUUAUAUUGAUCUCUACUUUGAAAGCAGAACAGUAAUUCACAAUGUCAUGUACCCUGAUUCAUUCAAUAUAUAUAUGUUAAUUAAUUCCUCUUUGUUUCAUCAAGAGUAAAAAUUUCACAGUUCAAGGUUGUUCUCAUCUCUUAAUAACUUCUGUAAUUGUAUGCGGGUCAUGUGAUCAGGAGUUAACCUAAUGACAAAGACUUUCCUUUCUGAGUGAAUAUUGCAGGCAGAUGGUGGCAAAGAGUUUGGGAACUGAGCUUCAAGGCAGCCUACACCGAUGGGGAAUUCUGGGAACUUUUGGACUGCCCAUCAUAUGUCAACACUAUUGUCUUUGCCUUCUUCAAAGACAUACACAGCACUCCAUUCCACUGGCCAACUUCAGCCACUCAUCAACAGUAAAACACCAGAAAGUUUACCAAGUACCCAGGCUAUAUGUGAAAAUGAAGACUAAAAUAAGAAUGUGCAGUGCCAAGUUGUAUGAAAGAAUAUGAAAUGAGUAGUAAACGUGUAACUCAAUACAUUGGCGAGUUCUUAUAUUUUGGACAAGUAUUGUUAUUUUACUCUCAUGCCUUUGUAAAAUUUGUGGCCAAUUUGUGUAUGUCAUUUGAUGAUAAUCAUUUACGAUCAAACCAUGUAACGUGUGAUAAUAAAUAAAAAACCAAAAGGUUUCCUUAAUGCAAGUUUGUGCACCAGUUUAUCUUAUUACUGAAUCAUUAGUAUGUAUGAACAUAAUGUUACCAAUUAGCAGUUAUCAAAAAAUAUUUAUGGCACAAGACACCUUAUAUAAAUGAUAACAGAAAUGUUGCCAAAAAAAAUGAGAGAUAAAAAUGUCAUACUGAAAAUAACAACAUCCUCUUAAUACUAAUAUGUAUUUGAA